AAAGAGAACUUUUAUUGGUUAUAUACUGUAGAGCUUGACAGUGUUUGAGUCAGGAGCGACAUGCAGGUAAAGUGUGUGCUUACAUUUGGCAUGCAGACUUAAGAGCACUGUGUAACUGGAAGGAAGUAAGCACCAUCUGUAUCCACUGCAUGGGCAGCCUGGGGAGGAAAGAUCUGGCUUCCCUCGACUUGAGCAUGCUGAGAAAGGGAGAGUUCUGAGGGUGGAACAGUGCUGAUAGCUCUGUUGGACCAAAGUUUGUUUCAGGGAAAUAGGCAAUACUGUAACCCCAGCAAAUCUGCUUCACUUGGCUGAGUCUGUGAUUAUGACAUUCUUGCAUGAUUUGUUUCCUAACUAAGCUGCCCCAAAUAGAUGUCUGCAAAUACAAAAAAUAGAUUUAUUCUCUUAAAAAUACAUUCCAUGCAGCCUCAAGUUCUGCUUCACCAAGGCAGGAGCCUGCACUGCAUGCUGGGCAGCCUGGGAACACGAUCCUUUGGGUCCUUGGGUUACUGACCAUCAGAGGCAUCGGCAAACAAGGGCUUCACGUUUCAUCAGGUGCAGCACAGUCCCCGAGGGAUGUCUGGGGAGUGUUUCCACGGCUCCAGUGAUGUGCAAGAGUGGCAGAGAUAAGGUCUGUGGUAUUAGACAUGACACCAAGGUGACUAUUGCUUUGAUCUGUAGCUGGGACGUUGCUCAUGUCGAGUGUCCCUUGGAGCAGAGGUGGGCAUCCUGCCCUGGGCAUCCUGCCCUCUGCCUCUCCUGGCGCUGCCCUUGCGGGACGACUGUGCCUCAGCCCCAUCCAUGUCCCUGGAGCCUGAGCAGCUGCAGAGGCAUCACACACUGCUUCUAGACACGAAGGCAGCUGCUGAAGCAACAUGCUGAUGGACCUCUCAGGCUGGUGCCAUUCUGGGGGCAAGCUGCUGACUUUCCCAAGGGGCCCAGAGCCCCCUUUUCCUUGGGAGAAGCAAACACUCACACGCUUCCUCUGUACAGCAAAUACAUUUACAACUUUGGAAUGACCCGAGUGCUUUAUGUGCAGCCUCGUGGCACCAUCAAACCUACUUGAAAAGCCUGUUAUAUAUUUAUAUGCAAAAAAAACAACUUACAAGCACUUCUUCAGCAAUGGCAAUAUUUACACAUAGACUAUGUUACAGCUGUUUGAAAAACAAAGUGUGCAAUUUGAAUCAAACACAUUGUGUUUCCUGAACUCAUUGCUGUAAGUUUAACAAUACAAUCAGCUACUAUUGCACUCACCAUUAGAGGGCAUGGCCCCUUUCAAUUUUAAGAUGGGUUUUUGUUUCUCAGGUUUAAUCUCAGUUGUGGUAAAAACAACCCUGUGUACAGUUACUGAGUGACAUCUGUGUUUCAUUAUUUACAAGCAGUGAGACUGAGUCUAGAGCAAGAGUUCAUGGUAUGAGCUGUGAAAUAUUCUGAGGCAGCUGGAGAAAGGAGAGACAUCACCUGUGAGAAGCACCUGAGGAGAGCAGACAGUGCCAGAGGAGCUGCAUUGGAUCUCAAGGGCUGGAAGGGACCUGGAAAGCUCAUCCAGUGCAACCCCCUGCCAUGCAGCACCACCUCGAGCAGGUCACACAGGAGCUCAUCCAGGGAGUACCAUUGUUCAGAGUGGUCAUGCAGUCAAGGUCUCCAUAUGGAGACAGAUCUGUAACCCUAUGGAGAAGAUUAAGAUUGCAGGUACAGAGAAGAGAAGUUGGAAAUCCCCUGAGCAACGUCUCUGCAGCUGCGUCUUCAGCAACAAAGAAAAAGAAUUCACUGGCAAAGCUCCUGUACCUUGCACAUUGCAUUAAAAAACUGGUUUCAGGGUAGCUGAAGCCUCUGGAGAGCUUACAAACAGGUGUGAUGCCCGAGAGCCUGGUUCUGUCCUGCCUCUUGCUCCACAGUGCAGCGUCUUCACUGAGUGGGAGGGAAUACAGCUCAUCUCCGAGACGUUGUCCGGCAGGCACGGGAAGCACCCUGUAAGAGACAAGCCCAUCACUGACUGGCCAGGACUCCCAGCUGCCUCUGGCAGCACCUUUGCUCUGGGGAAGAGCAUCAUGAUUGGAUUUCUUUCCUAAAAGGUUUACAUUCAUUUUGGACAAGUUCUCUUCAGUUGUGUUCCUGGGAGUUCAGCAAAAAUCAAGGAGACCAGAGGCUGCUGAUUUUCACAAGAGAGCAAAAAGCCAACCUGUGGCAGUGGCAAAUAUAACAAGGACAGUCCCAUUAAACAGAACCAUCUGAGUCAUGGAUACAAUGAGAUCAAAGACUCUGAAGGGCUGUGUGCUGGAAAGACUGAAAAGGCUUUAUUGGUCACAGCAGAAAUCUUAUCUACAGAAGCAGCUGAGGUACUGCUGCAGCUCAGAGGCAGAUCUUCUUGGCUGUAUCAGCAGGAAACACUGGGUAGAAGUACAACAGCAGAAAUGACGUUAUUUCAUAUGCAGCAGUGGACACAUCCAAGUCUGAUAUAGCUCUGGCUUAAGGAGAGACAUAGCAAGAGACACCUACAGAUCGCUCAAGUCUUCUAGAUUCAAAGAGAAAUGAUACUCUAGUGUGUUCAUCUGACCUUCCCAGGGACACAGGGCUUCCUACAGAAGCAGAGGAACCACCUUUGACUGACAGCACUCUGCCUGCAGACAACACAGGCUCAGGCACAGGCACCUGGGCAGCAGUUGUCUCUCUCUCUCCCAAGGCCAUGUAUUAAAAACACAUGCUGAAAGUUUGGGGAAAACUGAGGAAAGUUUGGGGGAAGCUCAGAAAAAGCAGUAAUGUCUCCUUUUUUACUCUUUAAUGGCCAUAACAAAUCACUGAUUGCACUUGAACAAUCUUCCUUCAAGCCCAGAGCCACCACAACAUGGAUUUGAGCUCUCAAAAAUAAAUGCCCUCCUGAUGAAGCAAGUAGGAAAGCUGGGGAAUCUCAAGCUGUUCCUCAAAGCAAAUAUCAAGGCAAAAUGUGUGGCCAGUAAAUAGCUACAAGGAGAAAAGAUUUUGUCUGAUCUUGAGGGUUCUUCAUUCCAACACUUUAAGCCAAAGCAGCUUUGUAAGAGAGAUGUGGCACAUAAUCACUUCAAAGUAGCAACAGACCCACACACACUGCAGUGGAUUGACUGAGAAUGUAAAGGACUCAAUUUUGAUUCUACUUUUCCCCAGGAGUUUGUUGUUGGGUUUUCUGGUCUCCCACAACAAGUGUGUGUAUCUCUUCACUGUGUAUUUAUCAUUACCAACAGCAUCCUCUCCCUGUUUAGUACCGACCAUCUUUCAGGGCACUUCUGGCUGUGCAGGUUUGGCCACAGCAGCCAGUAUCUGGGACAUUUGCUUGAGUCCUUUCCUAACUCUCACUUACCUCUGGUGUUUUUUCCCUGCACACUCAGUCUUGCUCAUCAUUAUCAGUUUUAUGAGAACAUUUCUUUAGCAGCAUCACUGGAUCCAACCUUCCCCUGGGACUAUAUUCUCUUGUCUGCACCAGUCAGUUCACAGCUGUGCAUGAAGGCAGAAAACCCCCCUUCUAGCUAGAAACAUUAGUGCCAACUGAAACACUUUAUGAACUGGGAGAAAAGCAGCUUUUAUUUUAGGAACAGCAAUUAAAUGGCCACUACAUGAGCCCUACACAGAUAAUCUCUGCCAGCAGUCCUCAGGGCAAUGACAAUGUUCCUAACCAGAUGCACAGAAGCAUCUUACUCUACAACUUGUGUUCCUUGCUCUGAUUUGGUGGUUGCUCUGAGUCCCACAAGCAUCCACUGCUCUGGAUGUCCCUAACUCACCCAUGUGGGAAUAACUUGGCACCCACUCCCACCACACUCUCUGCUAUGCCAAGAUAAAAACGCUGCCAGCUGCCAUAUGUGUCUGUCGAGUGCUGGGAAGCUCUGCCAUCUCUCCUGAGCACAUUUUGCACUCAGUCUUUGCUUUUUCAUCCUUUUGCUUGCAUUUUGAUACAGAUAAUGCAACAUCACUCAUUGUAGCUGGGGGAUCCUGGGGCCUCAAGGGAUGGCACUGCUGGUCCUCCCCAGUACCCAUCACCAAAAGGGAAACAUCCCAUUAAAUAUGUCAAGUUUCAGCCUUGCACAAUCCAAAAGAUGAAUAAGAAUUAUUAAUGCUUUGGCCUACAGCUGCUUUUUAGUAACUUCUUCUUUUGCUCUUGAAGCUGUAAGGGUUUGCAGUAGACCCUGAAAAGCAGCACUCAUCACAGGCAAGAGAAAAAUCAAUAGAUUCAAGCACAGCCAUAGCCAGAGACAAGAACAGCAAUUUGCCCCAUUGUAGUUGGAGUCCUUGGGGUCCUCUGCACUGUCAAAUCCACACAGGCUGAGUGUUUUACAUUCCUCAGCUGACUGUGGUCUAGUUUCAGGGAGGAGCAGCAUGGGGCUAUUGUCCAUGCUCUCGUGGAUGGGGUGUAGGCCUGGGACUGCUCCCUCCACCUCCCCAAAUGCUGGGGUGAGCUUAGAGCCUCCCUGAUCUGUUUUCUGCUGAAUUAUUACUCAGAAUACCCGUGGGAACUGUAUUUUUGCACUGAGCACAAUGCUGGGAGUGUUUGCACACACCUGGGGAAAGGCAGCCUUAGGCAAUGCAGGUCUCCAGACUCUAUUCAAAUUGCAUUAGGAGGCUCAUGGUCACUUCAGGCAUGAAGGCAGCUCUGCAGACAUACACCAGGAAAACCUGGGGCACUGAGGGGCUUCCUCUUACCAAUCCCAGAUCACAGAAUCUUAAGGGUUAGAAGAGGCCUCGAAAGCUCAUCCAGUGCAACUCCCCUGCCAGAGCAGCAGCACCUAGAGCAGGGCAC